GACGAACGCUGGCGGCGUGCCUAAUACAUGCAAGUUGAGCGAAGUUUUUCUGGUGCUUGCACUAGAAAAACUUAGCGGCGAACGGGUGAGUAACACGUAAAGAACCUGCCUCAUAGACUGGGACAACUAUUGGAAACGAUAGCUAAUACCGGAUAACAGUAUUUCUCGCAUGAGAGAUAUUUAAAAGUUGGUUAUGCUAACACUAUGAGAUGGCUUUGCGGUGCAUUAGCUAGUUGGUGGGGUAAAGGCCCACCAAGGCGACGAUGCAUAGCCGACCUGAGAGGGUGAUCGGCCACACUGGGACUGAGACACGGCCCAGACUCCUACGGGAGGCAGCAGUAGGGAAUCUUCCGCAAUGGGCGAAAGCCUGACGGAGCAACGCCGCGUGAGUGAAGAAGGAUUUCGGUUCGUAAAGCUCUGUUGUUAGGGAAGAAUGGAUAUGUAGUAACUAUACAUGUAAGAGACGGUACCUAACCAGAAAGCCACGGCUAACUACGUG
rnacentral:rRNA from 1 species